rnacentral:rRNA from 1 species
UGCAAGUCGAGCGGACAGAUGGGAGCUUGCUCCCUGAUGUUAGCGGCGGACGGGUGAGUAACACGUGGGUAACCUGCCUGUAAGACUGGGAUAACUCCGGGAAACCGGGGCUAAUACCGGAUGGUUGUUUGAACCGCAUGGUUCAGACAUAAAAGGUGGCUUCGGCUACCACUUACAGAUGGACCCGCGGCGCAUUAGCUAGUUGGUGAGGUAACGGCUCACCAAGGCAACGAUGCGUAGCCGACCUGAGAGGGUGAUCGGCCACACUGGGACUGAGACACGGCCCAGACUCCUACGGGAGGCAGCAGUAGGGAAUCUUCCGCAAUGGACGAAAGUCUGACGGAGCAACGCCGCGUGAGUGAUGAAGGUUUUCGGAUCGUAAAGCUCUGUUGUUAGGGAAGAACAAGUGCCGUUCAAAUAGGGCGGCACCUUGACGGUACCUAACCAGAAAGCCACGGCUAACUACGUGCCAGCAGCCGCGGUAAUACGUAGGUGGCAAGCGUUGUCCGGAAUUAUUGGGCGUAAAGGGCUCGCAGGCGGUUUCUUAAGUCUGAUGUGAAAGCCCCCGGCUCAACCGGGGAGGGUCAUUGGAAACUGGGGAACUUGAGUGCAGAAGAGGAGAGUGGAAUUCCACGUGUAGCGGUGAAAUGCGUAGAGAUGUGGAGGAACACCAGUGGCGAAGGCGACUCUCUGGUCUGUAACUGACGCUGAGGAGCGAAAGCGUGGGGAGCGAACAGGAUUAGAUACCCUGGUAGUCCACGCCGUAAACGAUGAGUGCUAAGUGUUAGGGGUUUCCGCCCCUUAGUGCUGCAGCUAACGCAUUAAGCACUCCGCCUGGGGAGUACGGUCGCAA